GUGAACCGCAAGGAAAUAGCCGAGAGCUACUACCUCCUCCGCCGGGCAACCAUGCACCGGUAUUGGUCCAAGUUCUCCAAGGAACAAGCAGAACCAGAGUGGCAGGGCUCCGCCUUCGACCUGGAGUGCAGAUACGACUGCGAAGCCAACGCCUUGUAUAUACCGAUGGGAUUGUUCAGUGAGCCUAUUCUGCAUUCGGACGUGUCU